UGCAAUGUCGUGAGAAGAGGCGCGGAGAUACGGGGGGUCCGGGGAUUAUCGUGUUGUAUUGGGUGUAAAGGGGGGUGAGGCGGGAGUUUUAGCGUGUUGUGAAAGGUAGACGCUCAACGUCUGGACUGCAGCGCGAACUGGUUGCCUUGAGUACGCACAAAGUGGGCGGAAUUCGUGGUGUAGCGGUGAAAUGCUUAGAUAUCACGAAGAACUCCGAUUGCGAAGGCAGCUCACUGGAGCGCAACUGACGCUGAAGCUCGAAAGUGCGGGUAUCGAACAGGAUUAGAUACCCGGGUAGUC
rnacentral:rRNA from 1 species